rnacentral:ncRNA from 1 species
UGUUGAUAAAGGCAAGCCUCCGAAAGUUGGGGACGCAAAGCCACGAGUUUAAUGUUUUACGAUGGCAGUCGGUUCUCAUC